UCAACUCGUUCUGUCCGGUGAG
rnacentral:miRNA from 1 species